CAGCUACUUUCUCCGUUCCAUAAUUCUUGUCUCAAAUUUGUCUAAACAUGAAUGUAUUUAUUCCUAAAAAAUUUAUAGAUACAUGUAAUAUUUCGACAAAAAUUAUGGAAUGGAGGGAGUACCUC
rfam:Brachypodium distachyon strain Bd21 chromosome 5, whole genome shotgun sequence.